rnacentral:rRNA from 1 species
ACUCCCAACUCCGGUUGAUCCUGCCGGACCCCACUGCUAUCGGGGUGGGACUAAGCCAUGCGAGUUGGCGCCCUCAGCCGACGGGGAGGGCGCGGCGGACGGCUCCGUAACACGUAGCCAACCUACCCUCAGGACGGGAAUAACCCCGGGAAACUGGGGCUAAUUCCCGAUAGGUGAGGAGGCCUGGAAUGGUUCCUCACCGAAA